rnacentral:rRNA from 1 species
AUUGAACGCUGGCGGCAGGCUUAACACAUGCAAGUCGAGCGGGCAUAGCAAUAUGUCAGCGGCAGACGGGUGAGUAACGCGUGGGAACGUACCUUUUGGUUCGGAACAACUGAGGGAAACUUCAGCUAAUACCGGAUAAGCCCUUACGGGGAAAGAUUUAUCGCCGAAAGAUCGGCCCGCGUCUGAUUAGCUAGUUGUUGAGGUAAUGGCGCACAAAGGCGACGAUCAGUAGCUGGUCUGAGAGGAUGAUCAGCCACAUUGGGACUGAGACACGGCCCAAACUCCUACGGGAGGCAGCAGUGGGGAAUAUUGGACCAUGGGCGCAAGCCUGAUCCAGCCAUGCCGCGUGAGUGAUGAAGGCCCUAGGGUUGUAAAGCUCUUUUGUGCGGGAAGAUAAUGACGGUACCGCAAGAAUAAGCCCCGGCUAACUUCGUGCCAGCCGCCGCGGUAA